rnacentral:rRNA from 1 species
AUGGCCGCCGAGAGACUCACCGACGACCUGCUCGUCGAGAUACUCUCGCGCGUCCCCGUAAGGUCGGUGUGCCGCUUCAAGUGCGUCUCCAAGCACUGGCUUAGCCUCAUUGAGCACCCCGGUCACCGUAGGAAGCUCCCUCAAACCCUAGCCGGCUUCUUCUACACCGUUAGGAUCAACAACAGGCAGUUGCCUCUGGAAACAAAAGUCCGCUUCGUCAAUGUCUCGGGCAAAAGCUGCCCUCUGGUCGGCACCUCUUUCACCUUCCUGCCCAGCCACCAGCGCAUAUAUCUACUGGACUGCUGCAAUGGCCUCCUCCUCUGUCGCUGGUAUGGCAUUUCCGCUCCGGUUGAUGAGUUUUGUUACAUCUUGUGCAAUCCUGCCACGGAGGAGUGGGUUUCAUUGCCCGAUCACAGUCAUGUUAGCAAGGUGGCCAUAGUGUCUCUGGGUUUUGAUCCAGCCAUCUCUUCCCACUUCUAUGUGUUUUUCGUGGAGCAGGAGGGAGAUUGGACCAGCGACCUUGCGGGGGUGGCAGUGUAUUCGUCUGAAACCGGAAGAUGGGUUUAUAAGGAGAAGAAAUGGAACGGACUCGCUUGUCGUAACUCGAUAGAAACUGUCUUUCUUAACGGCCAUAUUAUUUUCAGCAGGGACCGUGGUGAGCUAUCCUGUUGUGUAACUAUGGUGGACACGGAAGGAGAGACAUGGAUGAACUUUAUUGUCCCUGAUGAUGAUAGUGUUCUGACUGAUGGUUUUAUUCAGUGUUCACAGGGCCGCUUGCAUUAUGCCAAUUUUUAUAGAGAUGAAGAUGAAGAUGAUGGUGUGAUUCGAUUAGAAGUUUAUGUUCUCGAGAACUAUGAAAGCAAAGAAUGGAAACUAAAGCACACUGCUGAAACUUCAGACUUAUUUGGAGAGACAUAUGUAGACGUUGGUCUGGAAUUUGAGUGGUUUGCGAUUCAUCCGGAAUGUAACUUGGUGUUCUUCACUGUGGGGAAGGAUAUCACAUUAAUGUGCUAUAAUAUGGAUAGUCGGCAAGUCCAAGUGAUCCGCAAUCUGGAAGAUGGCAAGCUGCCAUUUCUGCCAUAUGUGCCGUUAUACGCAGAGCAGCAAUCGUUGCACAUGCAUGUGACAUCAGUGUGA